CAAUAGAAUAAUUGUCCAGUAAACAAUUGAAUUUGUAAGUCUGAAGCUCAGGGAAAAGGUCUCAUUUAAUAGGACUGGCUGCUACAACUUGAGUGAGAUGUGCACAUGCAGAGUGAAGGAAUGCUACCUAGGGGACUGAGAACUGACAAAAGCUGGUUGGAGUUGGAUGUUGACUUUCCGAAUUCUAGGUGAAACUACUGGAUGAGAGAGAUGAGAGGCCAGCAAAAUCAGCCUACUUACAAUUGGGAUGUUUUAAGGAGGUUAACUAUGGCUGCUUUUUCCCCCUCUGGAUGCAGGGUUACAAGGAAGAAAAUAACACAGGUGAAUGUUGUGGGAGAUGUUUGCCUACGGCUUGCACCAUUCAGCUAAGAGGAGGACAGAUCAUGACACUGAAGCGUGAUGAGACGCUCCAGGAUGGCUGUGAUACUCACUUCUGCAAGGUCAAUGAGAGAGGAGAGUACUUCUGGGAGAAGAGGGUCACAGGCUGCCCACCCUUUGAUGAACACAAGUGUCUGGCUGAGGGAGGUAAAAUUAU
rnacentral:lncRNA from 1 species